CCGCGGGUCGAGCCUCCGCUGGAACUGCGCCUGCGUGGAACCAGCUUGCUCCUUACCUCCUGGGUGCUCAGCGCCCCUUCCCUGUAUGGCUGAAGUGGGAGAAUCUUCCUAUCCUUGCUAACACCGCCUUCUUCAAAGCAAAGAGAGAGCCGGUGGGGCUCAGAGCCCUCGGCAGGCGGAGAUCCAGCCAGAACAUCACGACGUUUGGUUUCCACAGGAUGUGUUUUUACAGUUUCCUCUACUGGUGACAAGUGAUGCUGAUUUUCCAGUUAUGCUAGUUGACAUUCUGCGGAAGCUACAUUAUUUAGAAGUCGGCUGACUGAGAAAAAAAGCAUGAAUUAAAUAACAAUACGAGUAAACAGAAGAUGUGACAGGAGCCAGAGAGACGUGUCAAUGACAGAAGUUUGGAAAUCGCUGCUCUGCGGCAGGAUGCUUGUUGCCCUCUGGGUCAGGGGCUCCUCGUGUUAUGUUUUCUUGGGCUUCUCUUGCCUUGGACCUGGGCCCAGGGGGUUUCGGAAGCCGGAAAUAAAUAUUUCUGUAUCAAA